GACGAACGCUGGCGGCGUGCUUAACACAUGCAAGACGAGCGGAAAGGCUCCUUCGGGGGUACUCGAGCGGCGAACGGGUGAGUAACACGUGAGUAAUCUGCCCUGCGCUCUGGGAUAGCCACCGGAAACGGUGAUUAAUACCGGAUAUGACCGCUACACGCAUGUGUUGGUGGUGGAAAGUUUUUCGGCGCAGGAUGUGCUCGCGGCCUAUCAGCUUGUUGGUGAGGUAAUGGCUCACCAAGGCUUUGACGGGUAGCCGGCCUGAGAGGGUGACCGGUCACACUGGGACUGAGACACGGCCCAGACUCCUACGGGAGGCAGCAGUGGGGAAUAUUGGACAAUGGGCGGAAGCCUGAUCCAGCAACGCCGCGUGAGGGAUGACGGCCUUCGGGUUGUAAACCUCUUUCAGUACCGACGAAGCGAAAGUGACGGUAGGUACAGAAGAAGGACCGGCCAACUACGUGCCAGCCGCCGCGGUAAGAC
rnacentral:rRNA from 1 species